CAGCCGCCGCGGUAAUACGUAGGUGGCAAGCGUUGUCCGGAAUUACUGGGCGUAAAGCGCGCGCAGGCGGAUCAGUCAGUCUGUCUUAAAAGUUCGGGGCUUAACCCCGUGAGGGGAUGGAAACUGCUGAUCUAGAGUAUCGGAGAGGAAAGUGGAAUUCCUAGUGUAGCGGUGAAAUGCGUAGAUAUUAGGAAGAACACCAGUGGCGAAGGCGACUUUCUGGACGAAAACUGACGCUGAGGCGCGAAAGCCAGGGGAGCGAACGGGAUUAGAUACCCCCGUAGUCCCUGUCUCUUAUACA
rnacentral:rRNA from 1 species